rnacentral:rRNA from 1 species
UACGUAGGUGGCUAGCGUUGUCCGGAUUUACUGGGCGUAAAGAGCGCGCAGGCGGUCGUUCAAGUCGAGUGUGAAAGCCCCCGGCUCAACUGGGGAGGGUCACUCGAUACUGAUCGACUUGAAGGCGGGAGAGGGAAGCGGAAUUCCCGGUGUAGUGGUGAAAUGCGUAGAUAUCGGGAGGAACACCAGUGGCGAAGGCGGUUGCCUGGAGCUUUGCUGACGCUGAGGCGCGAAAGCGUGGGGAGCGAUCCGG